AUUGAACGCUGGCGGCAUGCCUAACACAUGCAAGUCGAACGAGUGGCGGACGGGUGAGUAAUGUCUGGGAAACUGCCCGAUGGAGGGGGAUAACUACUGGAAACGGUAGCUAAUACCGCAUACCAUCGGAUGUGCCCAGAUGGGAUUAGCUAGUAGGUGGGGUAACGGCUCACCUGGGCGACGAUCCCUAGCUAGUCUGAGAGGAUGACCAGCCACACUUGAACUGAGACACGGUCCAGACUCCUACGGGAGGCAGCAGUGGGGAAGAUUGCACAAUGGGCGCAAGCCGGAUGCAGCCAUGCCGCGUGUAUGAAGAAGGCCUUCGGGUUGUAAAGUACUUUCAGCGGGGAGGCGUUACCCGCAGAAGAAGCACCGGCUAACUCCGUGCCAGCAGCCGCGGUAAUAC
rnacentral:rRNA from 1 species